GGUUGAACUCAUUAUCUCCUAAGAUUCUGUUUGGAUGCAUGAAUAUUUUAUUCUUGAUAAGUUUGUACAUAUUGGUAGAUGAGGAGUGUGAUUAAGUAUUUAGAAUUGAAUAUUAUAUUCAAUUUUUAAGUCAUUUUUUCAGAUAAAAUAAAUCAUCUCGUAGAUAAAAUAUGCUGUCUUAUCAAAUCUUAUCAAAUUAUAAAUAUCAAAUCUUCCAAGAAGAAAAAUCAAACUCCUCUCUUACAAUCAUAAUAAUAGAAAAUUUUUAUACCGUAUAAGUUAUUUUUGGAUAAUUUAUUUUGACCUUUUAACAGGCCUAAAU
rnacentral:lncRNA from 1 species